AUGCCCACAGGCAUCGACACAUACUGGCACCGAAGCACUGAGCUUUUGUUCAGAGCAUCACCCAUGCCACACCGAGGUAUCCUAAUCAUCAAGCCCAUCAUCACGAAAUCAAGCCUCUACAUCAUGAUAAAGAAGAUGCCACUGACAAAUCACCGACAUCACCAGGAUCCCCCGCCUCCCGGCUCCACGCCAUCGACACGACCAUGGAGAGAAGCCAUCACCACCGCAACGCCGCCUGCCGCAGAGCCGAACAUGCAGUCCACCUUCCAGGGCAGCCGCCCCGGCAUCCAUGGGCUUGCAUCCCCGCACCACCACUCGCAGCCGCCGGUAAGGGAACCAACCAUCUGGGAUAUGGAAAGGACACCUUCUUUCACCUCCAGAGGAACCCUGGCCACCCCACAGUCCCAGACCAAGUUCCAAAUUGAACCUGCCCAAGCGGACGGCCAGCAACCCAAUACUUUGUCUAGCGCGGACUUUGCGUCCGGCGAGGUGUGA
rnacentral:rRNA from 1 species